UUUAAUGCCCUUUUUUGUAUUUUUUCAACUUGAUCACUCAGGUAAUGAGGAAGGCCAUAAUGCCACACCUGACAAGCAUAUUCGACAAUUGGUCGAAUAUGUGUACAAUAGGUUGAGAUCAGAAUAUGAGAAGGUAAAGCAUUUCCUUUAAGAAGGCGCAGACCGUAGAAACGCUUCGCGGCUUUCUUGCAAAUGUAGUCAAUAUGGCAGUUCCAUUUGAGGUCGUCCGAAAGGACAACGCCCAAUAGUUUGGCCUCAGAAACGACGUCGACCUCUUGACCGCGAAUGGUAAUAGGGGCAAACGAUGGAGUAAGCUUAGAAAAGCAGACACGCAAUUCUUUGGUCUUUGAUACGUUUAACUUCAUAUUAUUGUCUGAUGACCAUUCAGAGCAGCUGAUGAUGUUAGCG